rnacentral:rRNA from 1 species
CGUGGGUAACCGUGCCUUAUAUGGGGGAUAGCCUUUCGAAAGGAAGAUUAAUACGCAUAAGAUUNUAGUAUCGCAUGAUAUAGCAAUUAAAGGAGCAAUUCGCUAUAAGAUGGACCCGCGUCGCAUUAGCUAGUUGGUGAGGUAAUGGCUCACCAAGGCGACGAUGCGUAGCCGACCUGAGAGGGUGAUCGGCCACAUUGGGACUGAGACACGGCCCAGACUCCUACGGGAGGCAGCAUG